GACGGGCCCGCACAAGCAGCGAGCGUGUGGUUUAAUUCGAUGUUACACGAAGAACCUUUACCUGGGUUUGACAUGCUAGUGGUAAUGAAGCGAAAGCUAAGUGACCCGCAAGGAAGCUAGCACAGGUGCUGCAUGGCUGUCGUCAGCUCGUGUCGUGAGAUGUUCGGUUAAGUCCGCUAACGAGCGCAACCCUCGCUGUGUGUUACAAGUGUCACACAGGACCGCCGGUCUUAAGCCGGAGGAAGGUGGGAUGACGUCAAGUCAGCAUGGCCUUUAUGUCCAGGGCUACACACACGCUACAAUGGUCAGCACAAUAGGUAGCCAAGCCGCGAGGUGGAGCCAAUCCUCAAAGCUGGCCUCAGUUCAGAUCGCAGGCUGCAACCCGCCUGCGUGAAGCCGGAGUUGCUAGUAACCGCAGGUCAGCUAUACUGCGGUGAAUACGUUCCCGGGGCUU
rnacentral:rRNA from 1 species